AUUGAACGCUGGCGGCAGGCUUAACACAUGCAAGUCGAGCGAGCGGCGGACGGGUGAGUAAUGUCUGGGAAACUGCCUGAUGGAGGGGGAUAACUACUGGAAACGGUUGCUAAUACCGCAUACCAUCAGAUGUGCCCAGAUGGGAUUAGCUAGUAGGUGGGGUAAGGGCUCACCUAGGCGACGAUCCCUAGCUGGUCUGCGAGGAUGACCGGCAACACUGGAACUGGGAAACGGUCCAGACUCCUACGGGGGGCAGCAGUGGGAAAUAUUGCACAAUGGGCGAAAGCCUGAUGCAGCCAUGCCGCGUGUGGGAAGAAGGCCGUCGGGUUGUAAAGCACUUUCAGCGAGGAGGCGUUACUCGCAGAAGAAGCACCGGCUAACUCCGUGCCAGCAGCCGCGGUAAUUC
rnacentral:rRNA from 1 species